rnacentral:misc_RNA from 1 species
CAUUAUUCACAUAGUAACCCACUCUUAUGAACUCUUGUCCCAGGUAAGAGCAAGUUAGGAGCAGCACAGUCACGCCUAUGAUGUCUUCAUCACGUAUCUUUGAAGGGUCGGGCGGGUCUGCCUCAAAGACAAAGCGGUAGUUCCCAACAUUAACCGGGCCAACAAGUACACUCUCCAGGAGUUGAUCGUAAGUUUCAUCCUCAGCAGAUCCAACGUAUAUAAG